rnacentral:rRNA from 1 species
GAUGAACGCUGGCGGCGUGCCUAAUACAUGCAAGUCGAGCGAACAGACGAGGAGCUUGCUCCUCUGACGUUAGCGGCGGACGGGUGAGUAACACGUGGAUAACCUACCUAUAAGACUGGGAUAACUACGGGAAACCGGAGCUAAUACCGGAUAAUAUAUUGAACCGCAUGGAGCAAUAGUGAAAGACGGCUUUGCUGUCACUUAUAGAUGGAUCCGCGCCGCAUUAGCUAGUUGGUAAGGUAACGGCUUACCAAGGCAACGAUGCGUAGCCGACCUGAGAGGGUGAUCGGCCACACUGGAACUGAGACACGGUCCAGACUCCUACGGGAGGCAGCAGUGGGGAAUCUUCCGCAAUGGGCGAAAGCCUGACGGAGCAACGCCGCGUGAGUGAUGAAGGUCUUCGGAUCGUAAAGCUCUGUUAUUAGGGAAGAACAAAUGUGUAAGUAACUAUGCACGUCUUGACGGUACCUAAUCAGAAAGCCCCGGCUAACUACGUG